GCGGUCAUGGUGGAAUUGGCAGACACGCUACUUUGAGGGGGUAGUCCUCGUUUGGGGGUGUGAGUUCAAGUCUCACUGACCGCACCA
rnacentral:tRNA from 1 species